ACUUGGAAGAUUGAAUUAGGCAACUCAGUCGACAUUCAUUUCGACCUAAGUUGACUUUUCUCUCUAGCUAUAGCUUCUCUCUAAAGUUUCCGCCGUUCCGAGGGGCUUUUCGAUGCCGUGAGUACAAUGAAAGCCUCAUUUUGUGUUCUUACACACCCAUCGAGGUUUUGACUGACCUCCUGUGCUUUGCAAGUUGAAGAUUGGCAUCCAAUAAUCUCAGGUAUGUUUCUAAUACUCUGCUCUUUUGCUUUUCUGUCCUUUUCAGCUCCUAACUCGUGCUUUAUUGUUCGGCAUGAGUGGAAUUUUCCUGCAUUUCCAAGAUUUGUGGCUUUGCUUUGCUUUUCUUGAGCUUCAACAUACCUUCAUCUGAAGAAAAAGACUGUCCUACUGAUGUUCCAUUUCUUCAACUUGUAUCUCUGAUAUGCUGCUAACUACAGUAUCCCCUGCUUCUUUGGUUCCAUCUUCUAUUCUGGAUUCAAAGCCCUGCAUUCAGCCUCCCCAUGCCCUUGUAAUUUGCAGUACUUUGGUCUACAGUUGGUGGUUUCCCAACCGUCGUGGCCAUUGAAAAAAUAGCUUCUUUGGCAAAAAAAAUUAGGAGGUAAUAUGCUGGAGUAGACAAGAAUCUCACAUAGUCCUCAAAUAAAGACAAACGAAUCAAGAUAUACCUUUCAUCAAUAAGGCCAAUCGUGGCCUUUCCUUUGAUGCCACAUUGUUUUGUCAAUAUCUCUUAAUAGUUUUAUGUCAAUGAUCCCAUAAGAAAAUUUUCCCAGUACUGCAUAUUGUAUAACUUCCUUUAAAAUCAUCUGUUGUAUCUCCUUUGAAUUCCAUGUAAUAAUUGCUCUCCUUCUUUGAA